AGCAGCCGCGGUAAUUCCAGCUCCAAUAGCGUAUAUUAAAGUUGUUGCAGUUAAAAAGCUCGUAGUUGAAUUUCGGGGUCAGUAGGUCGGUCGUGCCACUGGUAUGAACUGGUUUUACUGAUUCCUCCCUCUUGAAGAACUGUAAUGCCAUUAAUUUGGUGUUGCAGGGAAUCAGGACUGUUACUUUGAAAAAAUUUAGAGUGUUUAAAGCAGGCUUUAGCUUGAAUACAUUAGCAUAGAAUAAUGAAAUAGGACGUUUGAUCCUAUUUUGUUGGUUUCUAGGAUUGACGUAAUGAUUAAUAGGGAUAGUUGGGGGCAUUAGUAUUCAAUUGUCAGAGGUGAAAUUCUUGGAUUUAUUGAAGACUAACUACUGCGAAAGCAUUUUGCCAAGGAUGUUUUUCAUUAAUCAAGAACGAAAGUUAGGGGAUCGAAGACGAUCAGAUACCGUCGUAGUCUUAACCAUAAACUAUGCCGACUAGGGAUCGGAUGAUGUUAAUUUUUUUAAUGACUCAUUCGGCGC
rnacentral:misc_RNA from 1 species